rnacentral:lncRNA from 1 species
GCAGGGUUUCCAACAAAAAUCCUUUCCCUGCAGAAAAAUGCCCGCCAAGGAUCCUGCUGUGAAGAGCUCCCACUGGAGGAGGAGCCUGCAGAUAAUACACCGUGCAGACCGUAAUGAGCAUAGAAUAUCCCAAUCUCUAAGGAAAUGGAGCCUUUACAAGGGUAUAAGCAGUUUCUAUACACAAUAGAUUAUGACAACUUCUUCUUUAAGGUGAGAUCCAAUGUCAUUCACAGGGGUAUUCAGAAGUGCUAAAAAUAUU